GACGAACGCUGGCGGCGUGCCUAACACAUGCAAGUCGAGCGAUGAAACCCCUUCGGGGGUGGAUUAGCGGCGGACGGGUGAGUAACACGUGGGUAACCUGCCUCAAAGUGGGGGAUAGCCUUCCGAAAGGAAGAUUAAUACCGCAUAAAGCCAAGUUUCACAUGGAAUUUGGAUGAAAGGAGUAAUUCGCUUUGAGAUGGACCCGCGGCGCAUUAGUUAGUUGGUGGGGUAAUGGCCUACCAAGACAGCGAUGCGUAGCCGACCUGAGAGGGUGAUCGGCCACAUUGGAACUGAGAUACGGUCCAGACUCCUACGGGAGGCAGCAGUGGGGAAUAUUGCACAAUGGGCGAAAGCCUGAUGCAGCAACGCCGCGUGAGUGAUGAAGGUCUUCGGAUUGUAAAGCUCUGUCUUUUGGGACGAUAAUGACGGUACCAAAGGAGGAAGCCACGGCUAACUACGUGCCAGCAGCCGCGGUAAUACGUAGGUGGCGAGCGUUGUCCGGAUUUACUGGGCGUAAAGGGUGCGUAGGCGGAUGUUUAAGUGAGAUGUGAAAUACCCGGGCUUAACUUGGGUGCUGCAUUUCAAACUGGAUAUCUAGAGUGCAGGAGAGGAGAAUGGAAUUCCUAGUGUAGCGGUGAAAUGCGUAGAGAUUAGGAAGAACACCAGUGGCGAAGGCGAUUCUCUGGACUGUAACUGACGCUGAGGCACGAAAGCGUGGGUAGCAAACAGGAUUAGAUACCCUGGUAGUCCACGCUGUAAACGAUGGAUACUAGGUGUGGGAGGUAUCGACCCCUUCCGUGCCGGAGCAAACGCAAUAAGUAUCCCGCCUGGGGAGUACGGUCGCAAGGCUGAAACUCAAAGGAAUUGACGGGGGCCCGCACAAGCGGUGGAGCAUGUGGUUUAAUUCGAUGCAACGCGAAGAACCUUACCAGGUCUUGACAUCUGUAGAACCUUGGUGAAAGCCAGGGGUGCCUUCGGGAGCUACAAGACAGGUGGUGCAUGGUUGUCGUCAGCUCGUGUCGUGAGAUGUUGGGUUAAGUCCCGCAACGAGCGCAACCCUUGCUAUUAGUUGCUAACAUUUGAGAUGAGCACUCUAAUGGGACUGCCCGUGACAAGCGGGAGGAAGGUGGGGAUGACGUCAAAUCAUCAUGCCCUUUAUGAUCUGGGCUACACACGUGCUACAAUGGCCAGUACAGAGAGAAGCAAGACCGCGAGGUGGAGCAAAUCUCAGAAAGCUGGUCACAGUUCGGAUUGCGGGCUGCAACUCGCCUGCAUGAAGUCGGAAUCGCUAGUAAUCGCGAAUCAGCAUGUCGCGGUGAAUGCGUUCCCGGGCCUUGUACACACCGCCCGUCACACCACAAAAGUCGGCAACACCCGAAGCCGGUGGGCUAACCUUAAUUGGAGGCAGCCGUCGAAGGUGGGGUUGGUAAUUGGGGUG
rnacentral:rRNA from 1 species